AUUUUAUGUGUGAACUUAGCUGUGUGAUAAUGGCCAGAUAAUUGAUCAAAUAUGAUCCAGAAUACCUCUGUGAAGGUGUUUUGGAAGAAGUUAACCUUUAAGACAGUAGACUUUGAAUGAGGCAAACUGACUUCGGUAAUGUGGUGGACCUUAUCUGAGCAGUAGAAGGCCUGAACAGAACGAAGGCUCUCUCUGGAGGAUUAGCAAUACAAUAGAAGGAACGUGGUCCCUGAUCAACUUUUUGUAAAGGUGUGACUCAGUUUGAAAGACUGGCUACUGCCUUCUGUGAGAAAGAAGUCUGACAGAAAGCCAGUAGGAAAAUACCAAGAAGUGUGAGAAGCACACAGGAAAACUUCAAAACAUGCUAAACAUCAUGGAGGCCUGGAUGCAGAACAGAAAUGUAAAAUUGUGAAAGGCCCAGAAAUUCACUCUUACAGUUUGAAUUUUAAGAAAGUAACACUUAAAAAAUUCAAGAAUCAAACUUUCAACAUAAUACCUAUGAGAAAGUCUUCUUUAAAACAUAACAUUGGCUGGGAAAUGAUUUCAAAGGCAAAGGUUAUACCUGAAGUCAAACAACGCAAGCAUGUCAUACAUAACUCCGUGAUACUCUAAAAGAAUUACAAGAAUACAAAAACAAUACAAAAUGGAAAUGUUUGGGACCAUGAGACUGAAUAGG
ensembl:lncRNA